GUGAGAUUGAGCGGACUGCUUGGAAGUAUCUUACGUUUUGAGUAAGAAGGUGCUGUGCUCAGAUGUGCGUUUCCGGAACAGAAGCGGUAGUGGGUUACACAGCCUGCUCCAGAGGCGUGAGCGGCGCUCGUUACCUUUCCUCUUUAGCUAAGUGCAGGGCCCUCAGGAAACUAUAUGACAAGGCCAGAGGGGGCAAGACCGGUGACCUUUGCUUUUGCAUGAGAGCUUUCACUUGCAUCUUACUCUGGAGGACUGCGUGACCCCGGGCAGCUCAGGGCUUCCUGGGAGGGUCCUGAGCCCCAGCCCAGCUCUCACAGGUGAAUAUGCUUAAACACAGUUACUGCACAGGAUGCAAAUUUCAGCUUUGAGAAUGAUAAGUGGUUUCCAAAUUGUAUUUGUCGAACUACAUAUAAUACGUACAAACAUGCUGAGAUGGGUAAAUGGGGCGACUGUCUGUUAGUAGAUUGCUUCAGGUUAGACUGAGAGAGAAAUCAUUCAAUGUUAAAUCUUUAUCGCCCCUAAAAGAUAAAUAAGCUUUUCCUAAACCUCUGUUUAUUCUAAAAGGGAGACAAGGAACAUCCGGAGAGGUGAGGCAACUUGCUGAGAUCCUACCAGGAGACGGUGGUGAGAGGUAAGGGGCCAGUGGGCCAUUCCCCUUGCAGUAGUGGGUACAGUCAUGGGGAGAACUUUGGCAUACAGCUUCCUUCUCAUUGGGUUCAAUCAAAAGGAAAUAAAGUGAGAUGAAGAGUGGGAGGGAUAGAAGCA
rnacentral:lncRNA from 1 species